ACGUAGGAUGCAAGCGUUGUUCGGAAUUACUGGGCGUAAAGAGUGCGUAGGCGGUUACGUAAGUCUGACAUUAAAAACCGGAGCUCAACUCCGGGGCUGUGUUGGAAACUGUGUAACUAGAGGACAAUAGAGGAAGUCGGAAUUCUCAGUGUAGCGGUGAAAUGCGUAGAUAUUGGGAAGAACACCAGUGGCGAAAGCGGACUUCUGGGUUGUUACUGACGCUGAGGUACGAAAGCGUGGGGAGCAAACGGGA
rnacentral:rRNA from 1 species